AUCGAACGCUGGCGGCAUGCUUUACACAUGCAAGUCGAACGGCAGCACGGACUUCGGUCUGGUGGCGAGUGGCGAACGGGUGAGUAAUACAUCGGAACGUACCCAGUAAUGGGGGAUAACUAUCCGAAAGGAUAGCUAAUACCGCAUACGCCCUACGGGGGAAAGAGGGGGAUCGCAAGACCUCUUGUUAUUGGAGCGGCCGAUGGCUGAUUAGCUAGUUGGUGGGGUAAAGGCCUACCAAGGCAACGAUCAGUAGCGGGUCUUAGAGGACGAUCCGCCACACUGGAACUGAGACACGGUCCAGACUCCUACGGGAGGCAGCAGUGGGGAAUCUUGGACAAUGGGCGCAAGCCUGAUCCAGCAAUGCCGCGUGCGUGAAGAAGGCCUUCGGGUUGUAAAGCGCUUUUGUCAGGGAGCAAAUCCUUGUGGCUAAUACCCACCGGGGAUGAGAGUACCUGAAGAAUAAGGACCGGCUAACUACGUGCCAGCAGCCGCCGUAAAAC
rnacentral:rRNA from 1 species